UACGUAGGGUGCAAGCGUUAAUCGGAAUUACUGGGCGUAAAGCGUGCGCAGGCGGUUAUGUAAGACAGAUGUGAAAUCCCUCGGCUUAACCGGGGAACUGCAUCUGAUACUGGAUGGCUUGAGUUCGGGAGAGGGAUGCGGAAUUCCAGGUGUAGCGGUGAAAUGCGUAGAUAUCUGGAGGAACACCGGUGGCGAAGGCGGCAUCCUGGACCGACACUGACGCUGAGGAGCGAAAGCCAGGGAGCAAACGGG
rnacentral:rRNA from 1 species